rnacentral:sRNA from 1 species
GCUGGGUGUGGUGGUGCACACCUGUAAUCCCAGCAACUUCAGAGGCUGAGGCUGGAGGAUCAAAACUUUGAGGCCAGCCUCAG